UCGAACGAGAAUCUUGUGCUUGCACAAGAGGAAAGUGGCGGACGGGUGAGUAAUGUGUAGAGAAUCUGCCCUGAAGAGGGGGACAACAGAGGGAAACUUCUGCUAAUACCCCAUAUGCGCGUAGUUGAGAUACUAUUCGUGAAAGAUUUAUCGCUUCAGGAUGAGUCUGCAUCUGAUUAGCUAGUUGGGGGUGUAAUGGACCACCAAGGCGACGAUCAGUAGCUGGUUUGAGAGGAUGAUCAGCCACAAUGGGACUGAGACACGGCCCAUACUCCUACGGGAGGCAGCAGUAGGGAAUUUUGCGCAAUGGGCGAAAGCCUGACGCAGCAACGCCGCGUGAUCGCAGACGGCCUUCGGGUUGUAAAGAUCUGUCAGUAGGGACGAACAAUGACUGUACCUACAGAGGAAGCACCGGCUAACUCCGUGCCAGCAGCCGCGGUAAUACGGGGGGUGCGAGCGUUGUCCGGAAUCAUUGGGCGUAAAGAGUUCGUACGUGGUUUGUUAAGUUUGGUGUUAAAGGCGCACGCUC
rnacentral:rRNA from 1 species